rnacentral:rRNA from 1 species
CCUACGGGAGGCUGCAGUGGGGAAUAUUGGACAAUGGGGGAAACCCUGAAGCAGCGACGCCGCGUGAGGGAAGAAGUUUUUCGGUACGUAAAGCUCUAUAAGCAGGGAAGAAAAUGACGGUAUCUAACUAAUAAGCCCCGGCUAACUCCGUGACAGCAGCCGCGGUAAUACGUAGGGGGCAAGCGUUAUCCGGAUUUACUGGGUGUAAAGGGGGCGUAGGCGGGAGUGCAAGUCUGGCGUGAAAUGCCGGGGCCAAACACCGGACGUGCACUUGAAACUUUGAUGCUGGAGUGCAGGAGAGGUAAGCGGAAUUCCUGGUGUAGCGGUGAACUGCGUAGAUAUCAGGAAGAACACCGGCGGCGAAGGCGGCUUACUGGACUGUAACUGACGUUGAGGCUCGAAGGCGUGGGUAGCAAACAGGAUUAGAUACCCUAGUAGUC